AUUGAACGCUGGCGGCAGGCCUAACACAUGCAAGUCGAGCGGAGAGGCGGACGGGUGCGUAAUGCCUAGGAAUCUGCAUGGUCGUGGGGGAUAACGUCCGGAAACGGGAGCUAAUACCACAUACUAUCAGAUGAGUCUAGGGGGGAUUAGCUAGUGGGUGGGGUAAAGGCCUACCAAGGCGACGAUCCGUAACUGGGCUGAGAGGAUGAUCAGGCACACUGGAACUGAGACACGGUCCAGACUCCUACGGGAGGCAGCAGUGGGGAAUAUUGGACAAUGGGCGAAAGCCUGAUCCAGCCAUGCCGCGUGUGUGAAGAAGGUCUUCGGAUUGUAAAGCACUUUAAGUUGGGAGGCGUUACCAACAGAAUAAGCACCGGCUAACUCCGUGCCAGCAGCCGCGGUAAUUC
rnacentral:rRNA from 1 species